UAUCUCAUUCAAAACAAAACUAUUAUCCAAAACCCGAAUUUCUCCACCUCCUCCACCAAUAUUCUAUACGUCGUAUUCAUCUUCCCCUUUCCAUCUUUCCUUCACAAAACCCUAUCGCUAUAUAUCGUUAACCUCUUCCUCUCUACUACUCCUUCAUCACCAGCUAUUACUCCGGAAUUGAACAGUUUCUUCCAUGAAGCUUGCUACUUUAAAUCCCAUCUAUAUGAUUUUGGAGUGGAUUUGGAUACAUUCCUGCUUACACCAGAUAAGUGCUGCACAUGAUACAAAAGGCUCCUCAAAAAGUUUCCCAAAGCAUGAAACCAAACAUGUUUCAGAACACAAGAUUACGUCUCAAGCUCCAUAGACCUUCAACCAAAUUCAACGAUGACAACUAAAAAUUAAUUUCACGAAGAUGAUGAUUAUGAUAUCGAAUUAGUAUAUGUAAAUGCAACAUACGGGUUUUGAAAGAGUCAUUGAAAGCACUAAUACCGGAUGAAAUGGUGGAGGGACUAAGUCCUCCACUAACCGAAGAUGAAGAAGCAAACGACGACACUAAUGUUGAAGAUGAAGAAGCAAACAACGACGCUAAUGUUGACCUAUGUUCGGACGAAGAAUAAACGCUUAGCAGUUAAUAAAAUAAAAUGCC